ACACAUAUUGGAUGGAGGCAUUUUUUAAUACUGAAGGAAACCAGUAUUAUCAGGAAUCAGUACCGGGUCUCAUGGGAUUUUCACUCUUCCCGUAUCCAAUGCACAUGUCGAGAGACAUAAAGGUUGAACGUCUGUUUUUGUUUUGAGCACUAUUCUCAGAGUUGACCCUGCCAGCUGACCAUUUCGACCGAAAUGUGAAACAAAUUUGCAAACAGAAACAGCAUGUUGCAGCCAUGGAAGCUUCAAAGAAGGAAACAGCUUGGAGUCCAGAAGGAUUUCAAGACACCGUGUUGGCAAAUUCUCUGGAACAGGACGCAAACAGACCAACUUCUGGUGCAUUUUGAGAGUAUCCUGGUGGUGUAGAUCCCGGCCUGGUACAACAGCUUCUCCACCCCCUCAGCCUCUUGCGACCGGUUCUGUCACACAGCUGUCAUCAGACACUAGACAAGUCACCUUAUGUCGGUUGGUCCAUAUGUCCCUUCAGUUCUUGUACGUAAUUCUGUCACUUUGCAUAAGAAAUAUUAAUAUGCAUUUUUGUUCUCAUAUGUGAUUACUUAUUUGUUUUUUAUCUGUGUCUGUGUUGUUAUCCUCUGUCUGCACAUGCUAUCUGUAUAUUGUAUUUACACUGUUGUUACAUGUUGCACAGUUGAGGAUUUCAUGUCCAGCAUGAAUCCAUAUCUGGCAAGUAUUAUUUUUAGUUUGUUAAAGCUAUUUAUACCUAUAGUAUUAUAUUUAUUUAAUCAUUAUUCUGGAAGAAAUAAUUAUG